GAUGAACGCUGGCGGCGUGCCUAAUACAUGCAAGUCGAGCGAACAGAUGAGGAGCUUGCUCCUCUGACGUUAGCGGCGGACGGGUGAGUAACACGUGGAUAACCUACCUAUAAGACUGGGAUAACUUCGGGAAACCGGAGCUAAUACCGGAUAAUAUAUUGAACCGCAUGGUUCAAUAGUGAAAGACGGUUUUGCUGUCACUUAUAGAUGGAUCCGCGCCGCAUUAGCUAGUUGGUAAGGUAACGGCUUACCAAGGCAACGAUGCGUAGCCGACCUGAGAGGGUGAUCGGCCACACUGGAACUGAGAAACGGUCCAGACUCCUACGGGAGGCAGCAGUAGGGAAUCUUCCGCAAUGGGCGAAAGACUGACGGAGCAACGCCGCGUGAGUGAUGAAGGUCUUCGGAUCGUAAAACUCUGUUAUUAGGGAAGAACAAAUGUGUAAGUAACUAUGCACGUCUUGACGGUACCUAAUCAGAAAGCCACGGCUAACUACGUG
rnacentral:rRNA from 1 species